GGCCUGGUGGUGUAAGGGUUAACACGUGUGAACUGCCCACGUCAGUUUAGCACUCCUUCACGAGUUUUCUGUUCGAUUCGGAGUCUGGCCA